AGCGAGCUACCAUGCAGUCGAGCGAACCUUCGGGUUAGCGGCGGACGGGUGAGUAACGCGUGGGAACGUACCCUCUUCUGCGGGAUAGCCACUGGAAACGGUGAGUAAUACCGCAUACGCCCUUCGGGGGAAAGAUUUAUCGGAGGAGGAUCGGCCCGCGUUGGAUUAGGUAGUUGGUGGGGUAAUGGCCUACCAAGCCUACGAUCCAUAGCUGGUUUUAGAGGAUGAUCAGCCACACUGGGACUGAGACACGGCCCAGACUCCUACGGGAGGCAGCAGUGGGGAAUCUUAGACAAUGGGCGCAAGCCUGAUCUAGCCAUGCCGCGUGAGUGACGAAGGCCUUAGGGUCGUAAAGCUCUUUCGCCAGAGAUGAUAAUGACAGUAUCUGGUAAAGAAACCCCGGCUAACUCCGUGCCAGCAGCCGCGGUAAUACGGAGGGGGUUAGCGUUGUUCGGAAUUACUGGGCGUAAAGCGCACGUAGGCGGAUUGGAAAGUUGGGGGUGAAAUCCCAGGGCUCAACCCUGGAACUGCCUCCAAAACUCCCAGUCUGGAGUUCGAGAGAGGUGAGUGGAAUUCCGAGUGUAGAGGUGAAAUUCGUAGAUAUUCGGAGGAACACCAGUGGCGAAGGCGGCUCACUGGCUCGAUACUGACGCUGAGGUG
rnacentral:rRNA from 1 species